GGACCCGCACAAGCGGUGGAGCAUGUGGUUUAAUUCGACGCAACGCGAAGAACCUUACCAGGUCUUGACAUCCCUCUGACAUUGGUAGAGAUACUGAGUUUCCUUCGGGGACAGAGGAGACAGGUGGUGCAUGGUUGUCGUCAGCUCGUGUCGUGAGAUGUUGGGUUAAGUCCCGCAACGAGCGCAACCCUUGUCGUUAGUUACCAGCACUAGAGGUGGGGACUCUAACGAGACUGCCAGUGAUAAACUGGAGGAAGGUGGGGAUGACGUCAAAUCAUCAUGCCCCUUAUGACCUGGGCUACACACGUGCUACAAUGGGUGGUACAAAGAGAAGCGAAGCGGUGACGUGGAGCAAAACUCAAAAAGCCACUCUCAGUUCGGAUUGUAGUCUGCAACUCGACUACAUGAAGUCGGAAUCGCUAGUAAUCGUGGAUCAGCAUGCCACGGUGAAUACGUUCCCGGGUCUU
rnacentral:rRNA from 1 species